GUUGCCAGCAUUCAGUUGGGCACUCUAAGGUGACNGCCGGUGACAAACCGGAGGAAGGUGGGGAUGACGUCAAAUCAUCAUGCCCCUUAUGACCUGGGCUACACACGUGCUACAAUGGACAGAACAAAGGGCUGCAAGACCGCAAGGUUUAGCCAAUCCCAUAAAUCUGUUCUCAGUUCGGAUCGCAGUCUGCAACUCGACUGCGUGAAGCUGGAAUCGCUAGUAAUCGCGGAUCAGCAUGCCGCGGUGAAUACGUUCCCGGGCCUUGUACACACCGCCCGUCACACCACGAGAGUUUGCAACACCCGAAGUCNGUGAGGUAACCUUUAUGGAGCCAGCCGCCGAAGGUGGGGCAGAUGAUUGGGGUGANGUCGUAACAAGGU
rnacentral:rRNA from 1 species